AAAGAAGGCUAAAGUACAUCUCCUGCUACAUCUUGUUGAUGACAUUGAAAGCCUGGGGCCAGCAAAUGGUUUCUGCACUGAAAGAUUUGAGGCCUUCAAUCAUUUCAUCAGAGGAUUAAAUAUAAACAGCAACAGGCAUGCAUCAAGCUUAGAUAUAUGUACAAAAUUUGCUAAGAUGGAAAGGCUUCGCUUUGUCCUAAGAGGAGGAACAUGGGGAAAAGACCACAGCUUACAAGCAUCAGAAUGCAUCAAAAACUUGGCAAAAGAACCAAAGCUGCAACAAUUUUUGGACAACAUCCCAAAGAAGGAGAGCAUGGAAGAUAAAGCAAUUUAUCACCCUGGAUGCUUAAGAAAAGGAAACUAUGACAAAGGGAAACUGCAGACAAAGCCUCUGAGUGAGUGCCUAGAACAAGUCGCAAUUGAAGCAGCUGGUCUCCCUUAUGAUACAGAAGUCACAUCCUUUAAAGCUGUUCUUAGUGAGAGGCAAACUCUUAU
rnacentral:lncRNA from 1 species